UUGCAGGCAGCUCCGACCCUUCAUCUCUCGGGCGAAGAAAUCCCCUUCGUCUUCCCCGAGCUGCGUCCUGCGUGACAGAGUCUCCCAGCGAGUGAUGCGAGGACCUGAACAGCCUGGAGUGUGUGGGUAGCAUGGCCCUCGAACCGACAGACUGAUUUUAUCAUGACGAGAAGGGAAAGUGGGUUUCGGACUAUAAACUGCACCUGAUGACAUCUUGGCUUCGCUAUAACGAGCUUUCUUAUAGGUAGUGUACUGAGAGGAUUUGCAGAAGGGAUUAUAUUGAUUUUCCUGAUAAGAAAUAAAGGAGGAACGGUUGUUUGGAUAAUUGUAUCGCCUUUGUAAGACUAUUUCUGUUUUAUUUUCUUUCCUUCCGAGAAGUGCUUUAAAUAGAAAGAAA